AGCUUCUCGAUCUCUCCCUCUCCUCUCGUCGACACCGCAGCGCCUCCUGCUCGAACCCCGACCAGUGACGAGCCGCCACCACCGCCGACGACUCCAGCGGCUUGAAGUCGGCAGAGCAAGCGUCGUCGACGGCCUGAUGGAGUUAGCACAGCACCGCAGUGUUUGCUUCUGUCUCAUAAAUCUCGCCGUGAAUCUUCCUCCGUCCGCGCCGUCUUUUCGCCGGUGGAGUCCCUUACUCACCCGUCUCUUUUCGGCAGCUCCGAGGCAGCCGUUAUACCUCGAGACUUGCGAGUUUCCUCCGUCCAGCGUCGGCGUCUUCCCGCAGUGACGAGCCGCCCCAGAUUCCGGCUGUCCGCGGGACGCAACGGCCUAAAGCUAAGUCCCCUCUUUUUUUCACUUUCGUUUCUUUCUUUUCUAUUUACUGUUGUUAACUAGGUAGAGUAUGUGAAAUCAUUUCCGGAUUAUUUGGCUGCCCCAUGUAAUUAUUCUGAUUCUCAAAUAGUCUUAACAAGGGUUUCAUGGUUGCGAUAAAAGAAUGUGAAAGCUGUUGGUUGAGACAAGGCUUAGCUUGCUAUUCUCGUGUUUACUGUGGUGUGUAAGUUUUGAUAUUUCAUCAAAUUAAACCCUCUGCUACGGCUAUGAGGUGAUGGUGUUCUAAGUACGCUUAAGGCUUAUUUAAAGUUCUAUGUGUUACAUGAGCAUAAACUGAGGUGUUGUGGGAUUACCUGUUGUGGAGCUGGAGCUGUGGACUCCUUCCUUUGUGGCCUAGUUCUCGGCUUGCCUUUGCAGGCUGACUGAGGUUCUUGCUUCUCGAUGAAACAGAAUAAUCUUUCCUAGACAUCUUCUUACUUUCACUCUCUCCUUCUCCUCCAUCCUUUGUCUACUGAUUGUGAAGUGGAUUUGUGGUGAAGGGGGGUAUAUAAAUGGAAGUUGUACCUUGUAGUUUGUUGAGAUUUAGCAGAAUCAAGUCUGCAAGUUCUUUGUCUUUUGUUAAACUGAUUGGCUGUUUCUUUUGGAGGUAGUGCAAGGGUGUACUCGUGGGUUUAAAUGGAGUUGUUAUACUACUUUGUUUUCUUCUUGCAGCAGCCCCUUUUUCCUUUGAUGUUGCAGCAAUUUAACUGAAGUGUUGGUAGUGAGUUUGCAGGUGUACAACAAAGGUGGAGAAAAAGGUUUGGCUGUGCCCUGCAGGCCGUUGCAGGCUGCACUGCCUCGCGGCAGCCUUCGGCUCAGGCUGUGAGUGCAGGAGGCUGUUACACUACCUCUUUUGGCAAGGCUGAUUUGUUCACUGAGUCGAGAAGGGGACCGGCCAUGGUUCGCUCGUUCCUACCGAAGGCCGGACCGUGGCCUUGGGCGUAAAGAGGAAAUUCACAAAUGCGUGCCACCGGGCACUCGGUUUCUUUAAAUUCUUAGCCAACAUUUGGAUACCCUUUGUAAUAGCAUCCGAGUUCUCUUUCUUUUUUCUUUGUUUCAACGCAUGUAACGUUUAGUAUAGUUGUCGGAUUUCAUUUCCUUAAAUUUCAUCGUCAAGUAUUUGUAAAUUAGACUUAACUUGAAAUUAGUACAUUCUGCUUAUGAAAUAAACGAAUACUCUUUCGUUGUAUUGCA